rnacentral:lncRNA from 1 species
ACUCAAGUGGACGGGUGGGGAGCCUGCGGCUGGCCACCUCCGCACCCUCGGAGCGCUCCAGGGGGCCCCAACCCAAGCCCUGCACCUACUCUUGAAGGCGACGGCCGCGUUGUUGACCAGUACGUUGAGCCCCCCGUACUCCUUGCGCAGGAAGUCGCGCAGGGCGCGGAUGCUCUGCAAGUCGUCGAUGUCCAGUUGGUGGAAGCGCGGGCUCAGGCCCUCCGCCUGCAGCUGCUGCACGGCCGCCUGGCCCCGCGCCACGUCCCGCGCGGUGAGCACCACAUCCCCAGAGAACUGUCGGCACAGUUCGCGCGCGAUGGCCAAGCCGAUGCCCCUGUUGGCCCCGGUCACCAGCGCCACGCGGCUGCAGGACGACAUGGCUGAGCGGGGAGCGCGGGGCACCUGCGUGGAGGGCGGACCGGGCUUCGGACCACCUGGGGCGCGCCCCGAGGAGCCCAGCUAGUGUCAAUGCCGCCGCGCAGACUAAGUUCUGGGAUCCAGUGCUGCGAGUCUUAAAGAAAAAGGCCCCGGCUCCGGUCCCUCCCCUCCGAGGAGGGGCCGUCUGUGCCCUCUGUUCCAACUCCCGGGCCCGCCCCCUGCCCACGCUGCGCCCUUCAGGAUCCGGGCUCUGAGCCGCGGGGUGAUCUGCGAGGUGUCCGAAGCCAAAUCGGACCUUGAUGGGUCAGUCGGGGGCUCCAGAUUCUUGGCAACUGGACUGAAGAAAUUAUUUUGGGAAAACCCCAAAGAAAACUAGACAAUCCACCAGCCCAGGAGGGGACAAGCAGGCUUAUUCCUCCUCCUCGUCAUCUCUGGCUCCAGCCCCACCCUGGCCCUUGCUGGCAUUCUUCCUCUUCACGUGGCUGGGGUUGGCCACCCCAAUAGGGAAGCAGAGGGAGAAGUCAAUGUGCUUCUGGGAAUCCAGGCGGACAGUGAAGAACAGGAUAUUUACCACCUGCUCACGGACACGGAUAUGACACUGUUGAAUCAGCACAUGAGCGUGGCGGAUGGACUUAGCCAAGCCAAGCUUGAAGACCUGGGUCUGUAGGAAUCUCUAAGAAAUCAUUGAUCUUCAGGCCCAGGAUGUAAUCCAGCUUCAUCUUGCCCUCAUCCAGCACCCCAGUGCGGACCAGCCACUGCAGCAGGGCAAUGCCUUCGAACAGACGCCGUGGGUCCUUCUCAUCAAGCGUCAGCAGCUCCCGGGCGGCCUUAUGGAUCUUGACCAGGGUAAAUUUGACCCUCCAGACCUCACAUUUGUUCUGGAGCCCAUACUCACCAAUCAGCUUUAGCUUUUGGUCGAGAUGAGGUUUCUCGAAGGGUCUCUGCAGGGUCACAUAAGUUUGGCAACAAACCCAGCUCUGG